rnacentral:lncRNA from 1 species
CCUGAACUCACAUUCUUACACUGGAAAAAAAAAAAAAAAGACUAUACAAUGAGAGCACAAUCUGUACACACCUUAAUCUGUAAACAAAAGCAACCAAUAAAACCUUGGUGAGCAGCCGUGAGACGUGGGUGGAGUUUGCAAGUUAGAGAACUUACCUUGAGCUUGUUCUCUCUUGCAAAAGGACAGGGCUAAUGGUUUUGGCCGUGAAGGCUAGCUCUGCCAUUGGAUAGCAUCCACAAACCCAAAUGAAGACGUCUCAAAUUUUCACAGCACACAAAAAUCCAGAUUGUUGGGGUUGGGGGCCAAAUUAGUGGCUGCCGGCCUGACGCUGAACACAGACCUCUACAGGAAAAAGCACAAUUGCUGCAAUUGCCACUGAUCCAAGCAAGUGUUAGCUCAAUUGCGGCAGGGCAUCUAGGGCGAGCUAAAAAGAACGGGCACAGGGGCAGGACACCACUGGUGACACAUGUCACAUGCCUAUCUUGCCUCGCUUGGAGCCAAUGACCACCGGAGCUGUGGUGGCUCUCUCGCACUUACUGCACUUUUAAAAGCCUGAAACGCAGCUCCAAGGAAGUAUGUGUAUGUCGUUCUGCUGUCCAGAAUGGUGCCCUACUUGCCAUCAAAAACUUCGGGCUUUAAGCGCAACAAAUUCCUUUGAGCAUCAAGUUGUAUUAAGGACUGGAAAAAAAGACAAAGCUCCACACCAGCACCCAACCUUAGCACUAACAGCAGCUCUGCGGAGAACAGCACCGAAUUGUUCUCUAAGUUCGCAAGAUCAGUGUCGCAAGGCUCCUCCUAGGACGGGUUUCUCAGUGCUGGCCUCUUUAGCAGACUUAACAGGAGUGGUGGCGAGAGUGCCACCACCACCACCACCACCACUUAGACAUAGUCUCUUUGUCAUUGUUGUGGAGAAGAAAAAAACUAGGAUGAUAGGAAAACUAAUGCUUUGCUACUGUUGUUUAUAGCUUUCAACUCUAACAAAGUCAUAAAGAAUGAACGAAUACCUACGAUGGGGAUCAGACGACGUAAAAACCAUGUCUUUUGGAGGCUGAAAACCACUGAGUGUCAUCGCACCACCCCUCUUGUCCAUCCCUCCACUGCUGCCACUAGGUGGACCACUGGGCCAUUUACUCGCUCUCCUCUAGAGCUACGCCCUUUCCCUAAAGCAGCAGUGGAGAUCCUCCAUGCCAGGAGUGACGGUGGCAAGACUGUAGCUCCGGAUCUGCUGCUGGUGCCUGUUCCUGCGGGGAUUGCUGUGGCGAUUGAGCAGGAGAUCUCUGAGUGGAAGAUCUCUGCCUAGGAGAUCCGGGAGCCACAGCUUCACUGACCAUUUACUCGAGUGCAUCGCUCUCUUGCCCUUUCCCUAAAGCAGUGGCGCUCCACAUCGAGAGUGACGGGGCGAUUUGUGCAGGAAAGACACAUGUCGCUGUGCCUUCUUCUCCCGCCCCACGCAGCUUGGCCGACUCCCAUUGGCAGAGAGCAAAUAUCAGAAAAAUUUCUUGCGCAACCAUGGCUACUGACCCUGGCCCGGGCCUGGGAUCCAACGGUCGGGGAGCCUCCCUGCUAUCACUAGAUUAUCUAUCACAAUAAGGAGGAGUUGCUGAAAUUUCUGGGCUGCCAAAUCCAGCCAAUCGCAGCCGUCCGAUGGGGGGUAACUGUAAAGGGGUUAUUUCUUUAACCACAUUUUAGUGAAUAAUCGCGCUG